CUGCUGGCUGGAAACUUAACGGCUAAUGUGGAUCUGACCGUAGUUUGCCAAAUUAAGAAAACGUUUUUACCCUGUUGAAGAUUUGCUUUAACUUCAAAAGCGAUGACAAGACAGUAUGGACACCCCUUCAGGACCAACCUGAUAAGUCACUGGGUUUUUGUAAUCUCGCAAUAUUGAAAUCAAGAGACAUCACAGAACACAGCAGCAAAGAGACGGGGUUUCACCGUGUUAGCCAGGAUGGUCUUGAUCUCCUGACCUCGUGAUCCGCCUGCCUCGGCCUCCCAAAGUGCUGGGAUUACAGGCGUGAGCCACCGCGCCCCGGCAGCAAAGAGGUCUCACAAGGUCAAGGCUCCACAAGGCUCAGUGCUAAAGGAGAGGAAUCUUAAAAAUGGUUUUUCUUUCGUUUAAAGAUGACACACUCUGAAAUUAAUUUGAUUUUGAGAUUUGAGAACUUGGACAUACAUACUUCCUAUGGAAGGUAACAUCUCUUUGGUAGUGAUCACGUUUUGUCAUGUUUAUGUGCCUAGCAGCUAAUAGAAUGCCUGGUGCAUAAUAAACAUUCCCAUAACUGAAUUAAACAAGUUGAUACAAUUGA
rnacentral:sRNA from 1 species